rnacentral:rRNA from 1 species
GAUGAACGCUGGCGGCGUGCCUAAUACAUGCAAGUCGAGCGAACAGACGAGGCUCUUGCUCCGCUGACGUUAGCGGCGGACGGGUGAGUAACACGUGGAUAACCUACCUAUAAGACUGGGAUAACUUCGGGAAACCGGAGCUAAUACCGGAUAAUAUAUUGAACCGCAUGGUUCAAUAGUGAAAUACGGUUUUUCUGUCACUUAUAGAUGGAUCCGCGCCGCAUUAGCUAGUUGGUAAGGUAACGGCUUACCAAGGCAACGAUGCGUAGCCGACCUGAGAGGGUGAUCGGCCACCCUGGAACUGAGACACGGUCCAGACUCCUAAGGGAGGCAGCAGUAGGGAAUCUUCCGCAAUGGGCGAAAGCCUGACGGAGCAACGCCGCGUGAGUGAUGAAGGUCUUCGGAUCGUAAAACUCUGUUAUUAGGGAAGAACAAAUGUGUAAGUAACUAUGCACGUCUUGACGGUACCUAAUCAGAAAGCCACGGCUAACUACGUG